CCCUUAGAUGUUCUGGGCCGCACGCGCGCUACACUGACGGAGGCAGCGAGCGUGUCCUUCGCCGGCAGGUGCGGGCAAUCUUGCGAGUCUCCGUCGUGCUGGGGGUAGAUGGUUGCAAUUGUCGAUCUUGAACGAGGAAUUCCUAGUAAGCGCGAGUCAUCAGCUCGCGCUGAUUACGUCCCUGCCCUUUGUACACACCGCCCGUCGCUACUACAGAGUGCCCGUGUCCAAGAAACGGUCGGACCUGUGCGGCCUCUCCGGGCGACCGGAGGGCCGUUACGGGGAAGACCCUUUAUUUGACGCGGGUCGAUGAAGUAAAAGUCGUAACA
rnacentral:rRNA from 1 species